rnacentral:rRNA from 1 species
AGCUCCAGUAGCGUAUAUUAAUGUUGUUGCAGUUAAAAAGCUCGUAGUUGGAUUUCUGGUACGGAACGCCCGGCCCGCCGCCUCUAUGGUGUGUGAGUGCUGGUUUUUGCGUUCUUGCCAUCCCUUUCAGAGAGGCCGUCUACCCUUCACUGGGCCGGGCGUUUUGCCGAUCUGGAUCGUUUACUUUGAGUAAAUUAGAGUGUUUAAAGCAGGCAUUUUGCUAUGAAUACAUUAGCAUGGAAUAAUAAGAUAGGACUUUGGUCUCUAUUUUGUUGGUUUCUAGGACUGAAGUAAUGAUUGAUAGGGACGGUUGGGGGUGCUAGUACUUAACGGCCAGAGGUGAUAUUCUUGGAUUCGUUAAAGACUAACUUAUGCGAAAGCAUUCGCCAAGGACGUCUUC